rnacentral:rRNA from 1 species
AAUAUUUUAGUUGGAUAACUGAGGUAAUUCUUGAGCUAAUACACGCUAUUUAUACCACAUUAGUGGUGCGUUUAUUUGAUUAAACCAUUAUAACGGUUGACUCAAAAUAUCCUUGCUGAUUUUGUUACUAAAACAUACCGUAUGUGUAUCUGGUUUAUCAACUUUCGAUGGUAGGGUAUUGGCCUACCAUGGUUGUGACGGAUAACGGAGAAUUAGGGUUCGACUCCGGAGAGGGAGCCUGAGAAACGGCUACCACAUCCAAGGAAGGCAGCAGGCGCGAAAAUUACCCAAUUUUAGUUCAAAGAGGUAGUGACGAAAAAUGACAACCAAAUAUUAUUAUAUUAAUAUUUGGAUUGAAAAUCUUCAAGUUUAAAUAACUUGUUGGUAAAGGAAAGGGCAAGUCUGGUGCCAGCAGCCGCGGUAAUACCAGCUUU